rnacentral:rRNA from 1 species
GACGAACGCUGGCGGCGUGCUUAACACAUGCAAGUCGAGCGGUAAGGCCCUUUCGGGGGUACACGAGCGGCGAACGGGUGAGUAACACGUGGGUGACCUGCCCUCAGCUCUGGGAUAAGCCCGGGAAACUGGGUCUAAUACCGGAUAUGACUUCAUGACGCAUGUUGUGGAGUGGAAAGCCUUGUGCGGCUGAGGAUGGGCCCGCGGCCUAUCAGCUUGUUGGUGGGGUGAUGGCCUACCAAGGCGACGACGGGUAGCCGGCCUGAGAGGGCGACCGGCCACACUGGGACUGAGAUACGGCCCAGACUCCUACGGGAGGCAGCAGUGGGGAAUCUUGCGCAAUGGGCGAAAGCCUGACGCAGCGACGCCGCGUGUGGGAUGACGGUCUUCGGAUUGUAAACCACUGUCGGGAGGGACGAAUACGCCGCAAGGCGGGUGACGGUACCUCCAAGGAAGCACCGGCUAACUCCGUGCCAGCCGCCGCGGU